rnacentral:lncRNA from 1 species
GGAAUGUGGUUUUAUUUUGACACUUAGAUGCUCGAAAAUGGUUAAGUUUAGGGACUUUAGAAGGGGAUUAUGUUUUGGAAUGUUGUUUUGUUAGGUGACUUGGUUGGUUGAAAAUCAUUAAGUUUAGGGACUUUAGAAGGGAUUUUUAUUUUGGAAUGUGGUUUUGUUUUGACACUUGGAUAAAAAGUGUUAGGUUUAGGGACUUUAAAAG